rnacentral:rRNA from 1 species
AUUGAACGCUGGCGGCAUGCUUUACACAUGCAAGUCGAACGGCAACAGGCCUUGAGGUUCUGCCUAGUGGCGACCGGUGGCGUAAUGCAUCGGAACGUACCCGGAGCUGGUGGUUAACGCAGCGAAAGGUGGGCUAAUACCCCAUGUGAUCUGAGGCUGACAGCGGGUGACCGCAGAGCAUUUUUUGACCUUGCGCGUUUGGAUGGGCCGAUGUCGGAUUAGCUAGUUGGUGGGGUAAAGGCCUACCAAGGCGACGAUCCGUAGCUGGUCUGAGAGGAUGACCAGCCACACUGGGACUGAGACACGGUCCAGACUCCUACGGGAGGCAGCAGUGGGGAAUUUUGGACAAUGGGCGCAAGCCUGAUCCAGCAAUGCCGCGUGCGUGAAGAAGGCCUUCGGGUUGUAAAGCCCUUUUGGCAGGAAAGAAAAGGUGUACGCUAAUACCGCGCGGUACUGACGGUACCUAAAGAAUAAGCACCGGCUAACUACGUG